GGGAGAUAUAACAGCAAAACCCUGCUGGAAUGAGUAGUAUAGACCAGAGAGGGACAAAUGGUUGUGAUGCUCAUUGUCCCCAGCGCUGGUGCUGGUCCAGCUUGGUGACCUGAAGUCAUCUGAUAAAGGCUUUAAACUCCAGCACGCGAGACAGAUGAAAAAGAUUGCUUCCCUGCAUUCUCCUUAACACCGCGAGGUCCCCGUUGCAUUUAUAAACAAGUAUUUCUACAUGUAACGCUCUGCGGAGGAAACCCAACCGCCGUCAGUGCAGGCUGUUUUGAUGGACUGAGUAAACAUGAUACUCUGGUGACAGACCUUGACUGCACGAAGCACACUGCAAGCGAGGCAGAGUUUUUCGCAGUAACAACUGCUCUCGAUGAAACUUGUUUUUAAGGAGUCUGUGGCAGCACGGGGACGCCGAAGCUUUCUACACCCAGAUCCAAAAGACCUCCCAGGUCACAGCAGAUCAGCCCCACCUCUGCAACGCCGUGAUUCAUCGGAUCAAGUUUUAUUAACAGCCAAUUUGCAGAGAAUACAAACAGCAGACACGAACCCUGGAAAUGAGGCCGCUUUGAUCCUGCCGCAUGCUGAAUCGCUGAUCUCCUGUGGAAUUUGCCCUCCUGAGGCUGCAACAAAGAAGUCAGAUGAAUGCGAGGAGGCAGGACUGCAGCAGCCACCUCCGUCAUUCUGCCCACGUCCUCCCUCACCCCUCUGCAGCUCCCCUUGUCAUUUGCUUGCCAUGUCCUUACUGCAAACACUGCUUCACUUAACCCGUGACUGCUCUGCCUGGACCAAAGCAGACAGCAUGGUGGGAACCCCUGAAAGGACAGAGCCUUCCCACGGUGACGCAUCAAGUCGAGCUAACAGCAUCCCUGGGAGAUGCUAAUGAAACAUAUCCUGCCAAGGGGGGUAAUUCCAAGGGCUGUUAGGGCUCAGAAGUCCAUUGCUUACAGGUCAAAGCUCUUGCCUGAACCCCUGUGCUUGCACCUAACACAUCCCAUGCCCCAAAGCUUCAUGAGCUGGACCCAGCAUGGACCCAGCAAUGACACACUUCUAAACCUGUCCCAAACUUACUGAGAUGAGACAGGGAUUCCUAAGGAGGUUUAAGCCCUCCUUUUCCCCACUGCAUGCUCCUAUAUUUUGGCAACAGACCCAUGGACACAGCCUGUCCCCUUUUCACAUUGGGCUUGCAUCCAUCUCCAGCCUGAGCUGCAGGAAUGCACGAGGACCUGAGAUGAUUUCUCUAGCCCCUUCCAGUCUCCAUGCUGGGAAAUCAAACCAGUGCCAUUCUCCCCGUACUUACUUUGUCUGUAAAACUGCAGGGACUUGCAGAGCAUUAAGCAUAGUAAUAAAUAGACCUGCUCUUAGCA
rnacentral:lncRNA from 1 species